rnacentral:rRNA from 2 species
GCUGGUGGCGAUGCGCCUAGGGGACACACCCGUUCCCAUCCCGAACACGAUGGUUAAGACCUAAGCGGCCGAUGGUACUGCACUGGAGACGGUGUGGGAGAGCAGGUGGCUGCCAGCU